UACGAAGGGUGCAAACGUUGCUCGGAAUCAUUGGGCGUAAAGAGCUCGUAGGCGGUUUGUCGCGUCUGCUGUGAAAACCGGAGGCUCAACCUCCGGCCUGCAGUGGGUACGGGCAAACUAGAGUGCGGUAGGGGAGAUUGGAAUUCCUGGUGUAGCGGUGGAAUGCGCAGAUAUCAGGAGGAACACCGAUGGCGAAGGCAGAUCUCUGGGCCGUAACUGACGCUGAGGAGCGAAAGCGUGGGGAGCGAACAGG
rnacentral:rRNA from 1 species